AGACGGCGGAGUAUGCAGCAUGGAUGAUUGAGCUUGUCGAGACUAGUAUGAGACAGGCACAUGACUUUGAGCGUCUCCAUAAGCAUGUUCCCGGUGCCCCACCUGGGGCAGCAGAUGGUCGUGGUCGCCGAGGAGCUGGUGGCCGUCGCAAAGGUGGUAGGGCUGACAGAGGUGAUGAGACUCCGUCGACUUCAGAGAUCCGGCCGGCGACUACAAAUAUCCCAUCGACUUCUCAUUCCCGGCCGUCGACUUCACAGACACCUCUGUAUACGCCGGACCCUUUUUCAGAUUAUGUGCCCUGGCCUUCAUUUCCACAUCCACCAGUUCGUGAUCCACAGGGUGAGCGGCCGGUUCGUGAUCUACAGGGUGGCCUACAUCUGCACUUCGACGACUCCAUGUUCGAGGACUUCGUGUUUGAUAUGGCACCAUCUGCAUCUCCUGCUCCGGAGGCCGCUCAGGAGCCCUCUCACCAGGCAUCUCAAGAGGCCGUCGACACACAGCUUUGACUUUUACAAUAAAAUAAAAUAAUUUAUUAAUUAUUUGUUUAUUUCAGGUUCAUUUUAGAAUAAAUUUAAAUUAAAUUGUUUAUAUGUUAUUUCAGGUUCAUUCCUCUGCGCCUGUGGACCCAUCUCCUGCACCGGGGCCCACUCAAGAGACCGUUGAGGAGCCAGCUCAGGAGCCCUCUCACCAGGCAUCUCAGGAGGCCGUCGACACACAGGUUCAUUCCUCUGCACCUAUGGACCCAUCUCCUGCACCGGGGCCCACUCAAGAGACCGUUGAGGAGCCAGCUUAGGAGCCCUCUCACCAGGCAUCUCAGGAGGCCGUCGACACACAGGUUCAUUCCUCUGCGCCUGUAGACGGGUCUCCUGAUGAGAUUGACGAGGAGCCAUGUUAUGAACCGGCCCCACUGCCCACCGUCAUUUCCCAUCGAAAGCAUGUUAUGAACCGGGGUUCGGGUCGAAAGAAGGGAACGAAGGGAAGCAAGGAUGAUCAUGCCAUAGAGCAUGUACAGAUUAAGAGAAGGAAGGGGGAUGGAGAUGAUGGUGG